AUUGAACGCUGGCGGCAGGCCUAACACAUGCAAGUCGAGCGGAUGAAGGGAGCUUGCUCCUGGAUUCAGCGGCGGACGGGUGAGUAAUGCCUAGGAAUCUGCCUGGUAGUGGGGGAUAACGUCCGGAAACGGGCGCUAAUACCGCAUACGUCCUGAGGGAGAAAGGGGGGGAUCUUCGGACCUCACGCUAUCAGAUGAGCCUAGGUCGGAUUAGCUAGUUGGUGGGGUAAAGGCCUACCAAGGCGACGAUCCGUAACUGGUCUGAGAGGAUGAUCAGUCACACUGGAACUGAGACACGGUCCAGACUCCUACGGGAGGCAGCAGUGGGGAAUAUUGGACAAUGGGCGAAAGCCUGAUCCAGCCAUGCCGCGUGUGUGAAGAAGGUCUUCGGAUUGUAAAGCACUUUAAGUUGGGAGGAAGGGCAGUAAGUUAAUACCUUGCUGUUUUGACGUUACCAACAGAAUAAGCACCGGCUAACUUCGU
rnacentral:rRNA from 1 species